rnacentral:lncRNA from 1 species
ACAGCUUGGAGGUUAGAAGCAAGAAGGAGUCAGGACACAAUUGGAGAAACUGGUUAUUUUACCAAGGCUUUGACUGGAAUGGUGCACUUUCCUUUAAGGAUCAAACAUGACUUAUGGAGCCAAUUAAAUCCCCUUGGGAAAACUGGCCUCAUUGCUUGUCUACACAGUUCCUGUCCAGGGUUCCUGACUUACGGAUGUGAGACUUCACAACCUGCUAAAAAUGAACUUUCCUAAUAACUCGGGACCUACCCAUCUAGGAAUAAACCAUCCUAUUCAUGACAGUGCCUGUGAAAGAUAAAGGAGAAAGAAUCAGGGUUGGAGAACUGGAAAAGUCUUGGCCAACCAAAUAGGCAACCCUGCAGCAAAGAUUGCCCAUUAGAAGAGUCAAAUGCUAGGAAGAAAUUGCAAACCCUACUAUUCUCACUGUGCUCAAACUUCGACUAGGAACUUCCACAAAGAGUGUGGCCUUGGCUUGAACAUUGCAGCAGCAGAUUAUGUAGGUGCUGAACUUGGAGUUUUGCACUUCUCACAGCUGACAGCAAAUUCUUUCUUCAAGGGAGACCUGAGCAGUCCUCCAUAUCUGCCAAAUUACUGCAUAGGAACAAAAAGGAGCCCUCCAUUCAUCUAAGAAGCAAAAUGAACUAGCAGAGAGAGCUUUGGCAUCAGGCAAAUCUGAUUGUAAAUACUUCUAGCAUAUAGUUGCUCUUACAUUGAGUUGGAUUGCUGGAUCAGGAAAUAUUAAUAUUUUAAAGACAUUUAUUACCAAACCAGUAUCAAAAAUAUCACUUUGGUUGACCAUGAUACCAGCAAUGGAUACAUGUAUAUGUUUCCCUGAAAUGCUAUGAAUACUGUUUUUCUGAGGCAUGAAGAGUGAUAAAAUAGUAUCACAGUUCCAGCAAUCACACCUACCAUCAAAGCAGGAAAAGAAGAAAAGCAUAAAGCAAGAGGUUUCACUUGAAUUUUGUCAAGAAAACAAAGACUCGUCCAAAAUUUUCUUUACAUCCUGUUGGUCAAAAAUAGUUUGAACUGGCAGCUCUAACUGCACGAAAGGUUGGAAGUAGUUUAAGAGUGACCACAAUUGAGAAAAAGAACAAGGAACUGGGCAAAGUUCAGAGAUGAGCAAAAGCACUAGUUUUCAUGAAGAGUUACACACAGAAUUAAUUAUGGCCUUUUAUGAAUCAAUAAUAUGCUUGCCUAUGUUCAAUCAGGAUCACAUGAUGACUGUGCUACCUCCAUCCGUCACAUCUUUAUUCAAUCAGGAAAAGAGAGAAGAGAGGUCAUAGCAACCAUGUCUAUCCAUCUUAGUAACAAUUUAGUUUUCUGGCCUGGCGCGGUGGCUCAGGCCUGUAAUCCCAGAACUUUGGGAGGCCGAGGCGGGUGGAUCACCUGAGAUCAGGAGUUCGAGACCAGCCUGAUCAACAUGGUGAAACCCCUGUCUCUACUAAAAAUACAAAAAUUAGCCAGGCAUGGUGGCGCAUGCCUGUAAUCCCAGCUACUUGGGAGGCUGAGGUAGGAAAUCACUUGAACCCAGGAGGCAGAGGUUGCAGUGAGCUGAGACUGUGACACUGCACUCCAGCGGGGGCAAAAAGAGCAAAACUUCAUCUCAAAAAAAGAAUUUAGUUUUCUGGAGGCUACUCUCACAGACUUAUGCUUAGCAUCUGUUAUAAGGUGAAUUGUGUCCUCUUAAAAGUAACAGGUUAAAACCCUAACCCCCAGUACCUCAGAAUGUAACUCUAUUUGAAGAUAGAGGCAAUAAAGAGGUAAUUAUGGUUAAAUAAAGUCAUCUGGGUGGGCCUUCAUUCAAUCUGAGCUGUAUUCUUUAAAAAGAGGGAAAUUUGGACACGUACACAAGACACCAGAGAUAUUCACACACAGAGGAAAGACUAUGAGGGGAUGCAGGUAGAAGGCAGCCUUCUGCAAGUUAAGGAGAGAGACUUCAA